GACGAACGCUGGCGGCGUGCCUAAUACAUGCAAGUCGAACGCAGUGGGGACGGGUGAGUAACACGUGGGUAACCUCCCAUCAGAGGGGAUAACACUUGGAAACAGGUGCUAAACCGAUACUGAUGGAUGGACCCGCGGUGCAUUAGCUAGUUGGUGGGGUAACGGCUCACCAAGGCCACGAUGCAUAGCUGCGCUGAGAGGAGGAGCGGCAACACUGGGACUGAGACACGGCCCAGACUCCUACGGGAGGCAGCAGUAGGGAAUAUGGGGCAAUGGACGAAAGCCUGAGCGAGCAACGCCGCGUGUGUGAAGAAGGUUUUCGGAUCGUAAAGCUCUGUUGGUAGGGAGGCGGUAUCUAACCAGAAAGCCACGGCUAACUACGUGCCAGCAGCCGCGGUAAUUC
rnacentral:rRNA from 1 species